rnacentral:rRNA from 1 species
GUUGAAACACCACUUCUCGUACGAUCACUGAAGUUAAGCACCGCUGUGCCUGAUCAGUACUUAGAUGGGCGCCCGCUUGAGAAU